rnacentral:lncRNA from 1 species
UCUGUGGCAUAGGGGUAGGAUAAAAGAAGCCUGUGCUGACUCAGCACUUGCCAGUAAAAGUUAUUUUUCAGGAGAGAUGGGAGCAGGAUAAAAAGAGAUGGUUUUAAUCCUCUACUUCCCCUGUAGCAGGUGCUUGCUCAUGAAGCUUACACAGAACUCAUGUGACCACGAAGCCAAGGUGGCCGAGAGAAGGCAGCUUCCUGGAAUCUCAGCCUUCCACCAGGCCAGGAGCCAGUCUGCUGCUUCUGUCUGCCUGUACCAAGCAUCUCCCUCAGAGGGAGGAGCCAUGGCCCCAGAAGAUGCUAAGCACUAAAGGAGGCCAUAUGCUUCUACCUUACCAGGUUUUCCGAUGCCCGUGGAGGUCAGAAGAGGGUACCGGACCAAUGGAAUUCAGGUGGCUGUGGUGAGCGCUGUGGGUUGUGAGAACUGAACCUGGGUCCUCUGUAAGAAGGACAAGAGCUCAUGACUGCUUAUCUUCUCUCUGGCCCCUCAUUUUACCUUCACGGGGUCUUGCGUGGCCCAGCCUCACCUCUGAGCUGCUGCUCAGAGAAGGGUGAGUUUGAACUCCCGAUCUUCCUUCCUCUGCCUCCCAAGUGAUGAGAACUGCCACUCCAGGUUUUUGCAGAGCUGAGGACUAAAGUUGGUGCACCAGAGAUGGUGGUUUCUCUGCUUAGCCCUGGCUGUCCUGGAACUCCCACUGUGAACCAGGGCUGGCCUCAAACUCACAGAGAUCUGCCUGCCUCUGCCCCCAGAGUGCUAGGAUUAAAGGCGUGCGCCACCACUGCUGGUAAAAAAGAAAAACAAAACCCAAACCCUUGUUUCUUCCCGCAUACCCUCUCAGUAAGUUUAUCUUCUCCUUGUGGCUUCAGAGCCCUGAGCAGAGCAGGGUUUAUCAACCCCACAUCACAGAGGAAACAUAAAAGGCCCAUUCACCCUGAGAGCAGACGGCUCAGCACAGUGCCCUGGGGCGGGCUACGGCUGCAACAUACUGCGGGUUGUUUCACGAGAGUCUGGGGGGCAUGAACAUAAAAUGGGUCUUUAGGGCAAUGUAUCUACGUUACUACACGGCUGCAAAGGUUAUCAUGUCCCAAACCACCAUAAAAGAGAGCCCAAGGUAGCCUUGAUUUCUUGAUUUCUUUGUUCUGUUGCUGUUUUGUAACUCAGGAUUAAAGCAUCCACCCCUGUUUCACCACAUUCCGUCUGGGAGACGGGGUUAGAACUGAGAUAAAAGGGGGGGGGGGGAGCCUUUGCUCACACCCCCCUCCACUUUUAAUAUUUACUAUUAUUUUGUGUGUGCGUGUGCGUGUGUGUGCGUGUGCGUGUGUGUGCGUGUGUGUGUGCAUGUGUGUGUGUGUGUGUUCGUGUGCAUGUGAGUGCACGUCCUCUGACCCCUGUGGAGGACAGAGAUACCAGACUCCCCUGGAGCCAUAGUUACAGACAUCUGUGAUUUGCCUGAUGUGGGAACUGAACCGGGGAGUUUUGGAACUGGGACAGCCCCAUUGCUGCUCAUCCUCCCUGUGCCUCGAUGCUUUGCCCUCACCUUCACAG